GAUGAACGCUGACAGAAUGCUUAACACAUGCAAGUCAACUGUGGCGGACGGGUGAGUAACGCGUAAAGAACUUGCCUCACAGAUAGGGACAACAUUUGGAAACGAAUGCUAAUACCUGAUACUGUGAGAGAGCUUUGCGUCCCAUUAGCUAGUUGGAGAGGUAACGGCUCACCAAGGCGAUGAUGGGUAGCCGGCCUGAGAGGGUGCUCGGCCACAAGGGGACUGAGGCACGGACCUUACUCCAACGGGAGGCAGAAGUGGGGAAGAUUGGAAAAGGGACCAAAGUAUGAUGCAGCAAUUCGGUGUGCACGAUGAAGUUUUCGGAAUGAAAAGGGCUUUCAGUUGGGAAGCGGUACCAACAGAAGAAGUGACGGCUAAAUACGUGCCAGCAGCCGCGGUAAUUC
rnacentral:rRNA from 1 species